rnacentral:rRNA from 1 species
GACGAACGCUGGCGGCGUGCUUAACACAUGCAAGUCGAACGAAGUGGCGAACGGGUGAGUAACGCGUAAUCAACCUGCCAUUCAGAGGGGGACAACAGUUGGAAACGACUGCUAAUACCGCAUACAGAAGGAGGGGAGUGCGUCUGAUUAGCUAGUUGGGGGGGUAACGGCCCACCAAGGCGAUGAUCAGUAGCCGGUCUGAGGGGAUGAACGACCACAUUUGGACUUGGACACGGCCCAGACUCCUACGGGAGGCCGCCGUGGGGAAUCUUUCGCCAUGGACGAAAGUCUUACGGAGCAACGCCGGGUUAGUGAUGACGGCCUUCGGGUUGUAAAGCUAUGUUAAUCGGGACGCGGUACCGGAAUAGAAAGCCCCGGCUAACUACGUGCCAGCAGCCGCGGUAAUUC